rnacentral:rRNA from 1 species
AGGACGAACGCUGGCGGCGUGCUUAACACAUGCAAGUCGAACGAAGCAGCAAUGCUUAGUGGCGGACGGGUGAGUAACGCGUAGGUAACCUGCCUUAUAGUGGGGGAUACCCAGCCGAAAGGUUGGCUAAAUACCGCAUAAGCUCGACUCUUGGAAUAGGGUUGAGGAAAGAUUUAUUGCUAUAAGAGGGGCCUGCGUUCGAUUAGCUAGUUGGUGAGGUAAUGGCUCACCAAGGCGACGAUCGAUAGCUGGUCUGAGAGGACGAUCAGCCACACUGGAACUGAGACACGGUCCAGACUCCUACGGGAGGCAGCAGUGGGGAAUUUUCCGCAAUGGGCGAAAGCCUGACGGAGCAACGCCGCGUGGAUGAUGAAGUCUUUCGGGACGUAAAAUCCUUUCAGCAGGGACGAAGCGAGUGACGGUACCUGCAGAAGAGCAUCGGCUAACUACGUGCCAGCAGGCCGC